rnacentral:rRNA from 1 species
AUUGAACGCUGGCGGCGUGCUUAACACAUGCAAGUCGAACGCGAAAGGGGACUUCGGUCCUGAGUAAAGUGGCGCACGGGUGAGUAACGCGUGGAUAAUCUGCCCUUAUGAUCGGGAUAACAGUUGGAAACGGCUGCUAAUACCGGAUACGCUCAAAAUGAACUUUUUGAGGAAAGAUGGCCUCUGCUUGCAUGCUAUCACGUAAGGAUGAGUCCGCGUCCCAUUAGCUUGUUGGCGGGUAACGGCCCACCAAGGCAACGAUGGGUAGCCGAUUUGAGAGGAUGAUCGGCCAUACUGGAACUGAAACACGGUCCAGACUCCUACGGGAGGCAGCAGUGGGGAAUAUUGCGCAAUGGGCGAAAGCCUGACGCAGCGACGCCGCGUGAGGGAUGAAAAGGUUUUCGGAUCGUAAACCUCUGUCAGAAGGGAAGAAACUACGUUGUGCUAAUCAGCAGCGUACUGACGGUACCUUCAAAGGAAGCACCGGCUAACUCCGUGCCAGCAGCUGC